GCAAUUGUGUGGUUUUAUCAGAAGAAAAGAGGCCAGCCAACUGCUGAAUGCAUGCUCCAUAAUUAAAUAAGCCUGUAGUCCUUAAGUGGGGGAAGAGGAACUAUGAUGCUCUGUGCUUCAUGGGAAGAUUUGUCAUGGGGAAAAUCUAUGAUGAUAGGAAUAUCAAAGAGCCUACAGCAAAGGAAAUGGUCAUUAGAAAUGUAUUCUCAGGGCAGAAAACCUUUCCGGCUCUCAUUGUUCUAUGACAUAGACUACAUUCUUGCACUUACAUCCUCAAACCAAACUAUGUUUAAAGGAGUGAGUAAUUCUAUAUGGCUCACUGUGCCAUACACUGUUCGAAAAAACAGAAAAAAGUGAUGGAAACCUACACAAAAAAUCCUUAGUAGAAUGCAGAUGGAUAAAGAAUAUGAAAUUACGACGCUCUAUUCAAAGGAUUUAAACACUCAUCUCACAGCCAAAUCCUAUCCCUGAUUUCUACGGGGAAUGUCUAAAGUAUGUUCUCCUUCACAGACAUAGGAAAAAUACUACAGGACACUGUUAGAUGGCACAUCACAUUAUACACAAAUUGACAAAAUAAUUAAAGUUCAAUAAUAAUUAAAGUUCAAUAGUUAAAAUUCAAUAAAAAUCUGUUUACCUUGUUUGUAGACACUGAACUCUGCUUUGUAACUUUUUACCAACAGCUGAUAGAUAAGACUUUACUAGAAUGAACAUAAUUCUGUUUCUAAAGUCUUUUUCGUCUCAUAUGUAUUUACAUAGAGCAUGGCCUUGAGCUAAUUUUUUUUAGUUCUUGUUCUUCCGUAUUAGCCCUAUUCAAUUUUAUUGUAUUAUAUUUAAGAUUUAAAAUAAUAAUGAUUAUUAACAAUUACUGUACUAUUUAUGUUCUUCUGUUAUUCAUUACAUCUCAUUUCCCUUCAACCACUCUAUGCAGCUCUCCCCAAAUAUGUCUCCUCUCACCCCAGAUCCACUCCUCUUCCCAUUCUCUUAAAAAACAAUGUGAAACAAAACUAAACAAAACAAAGAGCUGCUUCCCCAAGGAUGUGUCAGCAGAGCACCCGAUCUUAGCAUAAAAAGUUACAGUAAAGCUAGGAUCAAAACCUCUCAUUAAAGCUGGGCAAUGCACGAAGUAUAGACAGUGUGUUGAUGGGUGGUAUGUUUCCUUGUUAACAAUUAUCUUUAAAUCUCUUCUGACAAGUGGAUUUAGAGAACUACAGUAAUUCGCAAAAGAUGCUUUCUAGAUAAUACUGUGGAAUCCUUUUCCUUUCAUUACUGUCAACAAUAACUAAGAUCUAAUUGUGGAGUGCUUCUCCAAUCAAUAGACCCCUUACAGGAAGUAAGUCAUAAAAUCUCUACUCUCUAUGGUGCCACUCCCCCUCCUCCACCCCUCUAUCCCCAGCUCCCAGGCUUUAGGGAGAGACUCUUAAUAUGGUGAAACUACAAGGACCAAAAUUCCUUUCGGUUUUCAACUUCCCCUGGUACCAAGCCUAAAAGUGGCAUCUGCCUUCCUUAACUUACUGUACUUGGAGGAAGACAAAACAGUGCUUUGCUUUUUCCGUUUUGAGGUUCAGGAUAUUUUCUUUUGAAUGAAUUUGUAAUUAUAUGAAUAGUAUAAGUCUGCCUUUUUUUUCGUUAGUCUUGUUUUCUUCAAAUAUAGAUUUACAAAUAUAUUUUGCUUUUCAAAAUAAGGGAGUAAAGAGUCAGCUUUAAUUGGGGGAUUACAGAAGUCACGAGUCACUUCGCAUAAUUUCAAAAUGAAAUUUUUUUUCGAAUUUUUAGCAGAUUGGUAGACUGUUUUAUUUUUUACAGUCAAUUUACAUGUGAUUCUUUAAAAGGAAUGUGGUUGUCUAACACAGUGCAUGCUUUGUAUUCUGCAGUUCUUUUAUAUAUCUGCCAAUAUUUAUCUAAGCACAGAAGUAUGAGACAGACAUUAUAGGAGAUGAUUGCUUCAGUAACAUAUAGUUUGUCCUUAAGGAUUAUACCAAUUACAGUGGAUGGGGAUGGUCUCACUGAUUUUAUGCAAUUAUUUGCCUUUUUUUCAUUUAAUAUUUAUUACUCUUUUUUGACUGUCAGUAAAGCAGUUUGUUAUGAAAGCAAAAGAAACUUCAACAUAGUCUUUUUUAAAGACGUUUUGAUUAUAUAAGAGUAUAGCAUAGAAUCUUAGCCAUUAAUUUAUAGCCGAAGAACAACUGAAGGAAAAAUGACUAGAAAAUGACUAACUACUGAGAAAGGCUGACUCAAGAAGGAUCAGAGGGAGAAGAAACCAUCCUGAAAAGAGGAGGGAGAGAAACACACUCAGAUAUGCAGACAAGUGGAUUCUUGCUUAUAGAGAAAUGGUUCUUGCAAAGCAAAGGGUAAAAGCAGAUCUAUGUAGUACUUUACAAGCUAUAUCACAAAACCAUUCUUAUAGAUGGUUAAUGUGGUUUAUCAUUCACUCCAAUAGCAAAAGACCAAUGAGGUGUGCCCAGAUAAAGUGAGAAAAAUGAAGCAGUUGUAGAUAGCAUCUGAGAAUACAUAUAUUAGAGCAGAUAGACUAUUUCAGGGUCUAAAAAUGGUUCUUAUUAAUAUUGAAUUAUAUGUUAAAAUAUACAUAUAUCCUAAAUAUAAGGUUCUGUAUCCUGGAGGAAAUUUGAUUGAGAAGGGAAAUACUGUCAUUUUUAGGACAUUUAAGUGUUUUGUUGUUGCUGCUGUUCUUGUAUCUGCUGUAACUGUUUUACCUGAUACUUUCAGGCAUCUAAUUCUAAAGCUUUGUUCCUAUGUGUCAAAUGCUCUACUUGUGUUCAACGGUGUCAUUCCAAUAAUUCAAGUGCUUUUUCCCCAAAGGUAGAUCUUCCUUUUUUAAACAUAAUACCCCUUUCCAAUAAACAACCCUAAUAUGUUUCAUGAAUUCUACCAUCAAAUAUGAACUGUGCCUAAAUUGUUGUGUUUACUCUGAUUCUCAACAUCAUCAUUCCAAAAUAAAAUUGAAUAUAAAAUUCCUUGAAAAUUCCCAUUCACUGGAAUUUCUGAUAUACUUGUGGAGGUAUGCUGAGAUUUGUAGCCAAUCUUAAGGACCAGGGGAUUUCUGGAAAGAGGGGAAAGAAUUAUUUCUCAGUCCUCACAAGUGGUGAUGAAAAUUGUGUGAAAAUGACCUGUAAUUUCUGUCAAAACAGUGUGUCAUUCUUUUUGCUUUCUGCAAUUUCCUCCAGUAGCCAACUACUUUAUGACAUAGUUAUUUAAACUAUUGGCAUCUAAGGAAUCAAGUACUACUUUCUCUUACCUAAGUAGAAAUGUUACAUAUCUUUGGGCUAUUUUAGUCAAUGCUCAACCUGUAGACAAAAUUGUUUAGUCUCUAAUAUCCUCUGAAGGUGAUAGUCACUUUCAAAAACAUAUUUUCACGUGGCCAGGUUUUAAUAUUAAUAUUUUAUAUUGUCAUUAAAACCUCCCCUUUCCCCAAUGGAUUUCUCAGUCUUCAGUGAAAUGAAAAUCAAAAUGAUCCUGUGAUUCUACCUCACAUUACUCAGAAUGGCUAAGUCUAAAAAACUCAGGUGACAGCAGAUGCUGGUGAGGAUGAAGAGAAAGACGAACACUCAUUCAUUGCUGGUUGGACUGGAAGAUGGUACAACCACUCUGAAAAUCACUCAGAAAAUUGGACAUAGAACUGCCUCAGGCCCAGAUAUACCACUUCUGGUCACAUACCGGAGAGAUGCUCCUACAAAUAACAAGGGCACCUGGCCCACUCUGCUCAUAGCCUUAUUUAUAAUAGCCAGAAGCUGGAAAGAACACGGAUGCCCUUCCACAGAGGAAUGAAUACAGAGAAUUUGGCUUAUAAAAAAAUCACUGAAUUCUUUAAGGUACAUAAUUAGUAAAGUGUUUGAAAUGCAAUGUGACAGAUAUUUUGAUAUUCAAUAUUUGGUAAAGUACUUGCCUAACUAAACAGAUUUGAGCUUGAACUUCAUCAAAAUGCAGGUUACAUUGUGAAAACAAGGAAGAGCAGAUCACAGGAGGUAGACACGCAAAAAUAUGAAUCUCAAGAUCAUCCUAAGCAAGUCUAUGAACUGACUGAGUCCAUUUCAAAGGAAAGCUUUGUACAAAUUUGGCAAUUAUUCUACAGUGGUAAUAUUUCUGAAAAAAUAAUUUGACACUUGCUCAUCCAGCAGCCAUCGAUGUUAAUUUCAUAUGAUCAAACUAUUGUCGCACUUCAUGAUUGAGAGAAGACAAGGCAUUAACUCAAGGUAAGAACUGGAAGCAGGAGCUUAAACAGAAGCGUUGUUGCUGCUUACCAGUUUUCUUCCUGUGGGUAGUUCAGAAUCCUUCCUAAUACACACCAGGAUCCCCUAAACAGGUGCCUGGAAGCCAGUAUUCUGCUAGCAGCCUUUAGAUGAAGAUAGAGAACUAACACCUCUGCCGGCACCAUGAUUGCCUGGGUACUGCCAUGCUCCUUCCUUCAUGAUAAUGGACUGAACCUCUGAACCUGUACACGAGCCCCAAUUAAAUUUUGUCCUUUAUAAAACUUGCCUUGGCUAAUAUUCACUUAUUAGUGAGUAUAUACC
ensembl:lncRNA